UACAGAGGGUGCGAGCGUUAAUCGGAAUUACUGGGCGUAAAGCGUGCGUAGACGGUUCUGUGUGUCGGAUGUGAAAGCCCCGGGCUCAACCUGGGAAUGGCAUUCGAAACUGCGGAGCUAGAGUGCGGAAGAGGGAAGUGGAAUUUCCGGUGUAGCGGUGAAAUGCGUAGAUAUCGGAAGGAACACCAGUGGCGAAAGCGACUUCCUGGUCCAGCACUGACGUUGAGGCACGAAAGCGUGGGGAGCAAACAGG
rnacentral:rRNA from 1 species